UUGAAAAAAAAUAAAAAAACAGCACUCAGACCACAUUCCUUCUUCAAAUGAGCCAAGCAGCCCAAAACUACCCACUAACGGGCCUAAACCUUGCCCACCCAUGGCUCACACCACUGGAACCACUCCUUCCCAGGCCUGCGGCUGCUCCUACCUGCUCCCUCACCCUCACAUGAGACACGACCAGGCUAAGAAGCCGGCGCUUGCUCGAGCAUACAGGGAGGAAACCCUAUCCCAGUUUUUGCGGCGGCGCGGGCGGCGGCAGGCAGAGUCGAGGGGCAGCGCGCGGCAGGAAGAAGAGGGGUGGCGGCAACGCAGGGCGCCGCAGACUAGCCGCGGUCGGCGGCAGGCGGGCGCCGCGGCAGCAGUGCUGCACUGCCAGGCGGGCGCAGCGGGCCUGACUGGGCGUCGGGCUGUCGGCAGGGGCACCUCGGCAGACGGCGGCACGCGGCAUCCGCGGCACUGCACUGCAGUAGUUUGUAGGCCUGAAACAUGAAGAGGAAGAAGGGGGGGGGGGACAGUGUUGCCACUGGUUCAAAUUACAAACAAUUUGUGCUAUCGUUACUCAAUUAUGCGCUAAUAAUAUGUAUGUACUUUGAGCUGUGAAAUUUUUUUUCGCACUACUUGAAAUUUUGAAUACCAAGCUCCAAAAUUCUGGGCCCGCCCCUAUCCAUCCAGUCCAAUUCUAGCAAUUAGUCUCUGAAAUGCAAUCCAGUCCAAUCCCAUUCCAUUUAAUCCAAAUUCAUUCAAUACAAUUCAAAAUCCAAACACGAAGCAGGAGCCACAAACAAGCAGCGCAAGCACAUCAUGUGGACGUCUUCCUCGACCACGGCAAGCUCGCCGGCAAGGAGCUGAUACUAUGAAGCAUCUCGCCAUCUCCAACCACGUAGACUCCUCGCACGACCGUGCUGCGGGGGCGCGCUGCUUCAGCUCCCUGAAUCGACGGUCCACACCGCCGCCGCUGUCACCCAUGGUCUCUACACGUAGAUGCCGCAUCCGCCGCCGACACGGCCGCCACUCGCAACUCCGCACCCCGCCGCUUGCUGCUGCUGCUUGUUGUUAGAUUUAAUCUCACAUCGAAAAUUGAUGUUGGGUGAGCCCAACAUAUAAGGUGGGGCAGUCCUUUUUCAUCAGGCUAGUCUUUUGGGUUGAGUUAGGCUCGAGAUCUUGGUUGGUUGGGCUCCGAUGGACCUAGGACUGGUAGGGUGCCGGCUCGUGGGUAUAGCGAGCCGGGCCGCAUUCCACUGCGCACUAUAACAAGUGAUAUCAGAGCCUAUAACAAGUGAAAUCAGAGCCGAAGGUUGAAAAAAACUAGAAUAUCUCCGGGGUCACAUGGUGACGGGGGAGCCCGUGAACGUCUCCGGAUAGUUGCACGGGUUGUGUGUGACUGGAGAGUUGGACUCGGGGCCUGGUAGAAUAUCUUCCGAGAGAUCACAUGGUUGUAUGUGAUGGAAGAGUUAGACCCGAUGUGUAACGAGAAAGAUUGUUAGAUUUAGUCCCACAUCGGAAAUUGAUGUUGGAGGAGCCCAACAUAUAAGGUGGAGCAGUCCUCAUCCAUCAGACUAGUCUUUUGGGUUGAGUUGGACCCGAGGCCUUGGUUGGUUGGGCUCCGAUGGACCUAGGCCUGGUAGGGCGCCGACUCGUGAGUAUAGCGAGCCGGGCCGCAUUCCGCUGCGCACUCUAACACUUGUGUCCGGCCAUGCGCGCGGGAGGUGAGAAAUCCAACAUGAAUUGGAUUAUCCUAUUUUCCUAUCCAAGGAGAUCCAACGAUACUUGGAUCUAAAGCAAAUGGAUUAUCCAUGUCCAACUAGAUCCAAAUCUAGCGAGAUUCAAUACCAAAGUCCAAUUGGAUGUUGGAUAAUAUCCAAUCCAAUUCCAAGAGUAAGUUUAUGCAACGUGUCGUACAAGAUUGCCUCUAAAGUGCUUGCCAAUAAAUUGAAAGCAUUCUUGCAUGAUAUUGUGCCCGCAUGUCAAAGUGACUUUGUAUUAGGACGACUUAUCACUGACAAUGCUCUAAGCCUCUAAUUGCAUAUAUGAGUGCUUGCACACUAUUAGGCAACAACAAUGCCAUAAAAAUUGAUAUGAUGAAGGCAUAUGUAAAUCUACAUCGUUGAACCAAAUGAAGCCCUCCGGGAGCCUCUGGCUGUUUGGCUAGUCCUAUCGUGCCGCGUACUGUGCAAGUCGUGGAGAGUCUCGCCACGGGGCAGCCUCCGGUCGUUCGCGUCCACCCUACGCCUCUAUAUGCGGCAGAAAUAAAGGAGGCCCACGCGGGACCUGAGCGUCGUCGUUGCCUGCAGACCCAAUCGUCUCCGCCAGCUUCAUCGCGCCUUGCCUCACCUCGUGGUCGUCGCCUCCCACGCUGUCGCCUCCUCCGUAUCGCAGCGCCGUCGGCAGCCUCCUCUGAGCCGAUCCUCCUCCCCCGUUGGCCGUGAAGAAGGGUACAAUGUUGUGCCCAUGGUGGAGGCGGCGGAUUUGUUGCCGGCGGGGAACGCACGACAACAGCAAACAUCAGCACUAGGGCAACCUAGGACGGCCGCCCUAGGUUCCUGUGGGUGAGCUCCACAUCAUAUCGCAGUUCGCUCAAGUCCGGCGAGGGCUAAUGGCAGCACGGCGGCGCCCUCGGCGAGAAGGACAACGGCGUCGGCCAGGCUUGAGAUUAGGGGCGACUGGGCGAGCGUGGGCCUCGUGGGCCGCCUGGCCUGGUGAUUCCUCCGGCCCAGCGCCACGCGCAGGGUCUUCUUCCUUUUCCAACCAGCGCAACGCAAACGUCAAACUCCAUCCACCCAGCAUCGAGCCGCCGGCGCCGUCGGCCGUCCUGCCCCGCGUCGCGGAGCCUCGCCCCCCACCCCCCCCACCUCAACCGCUCCGAGCCCUCGGCAGUCGGCCGCCGGCGGAUCCGCGCGCUCGGCGCCGCCCGCCGCCGCGGGGACCUGCAGGGCUGCAGCCGGCCUCCGGCCUCCACUGGCCACCGCCUCGGCCCUGGGUACCCGUCGGCCUCCACUGGCCACCGCCUCGGCCCUGGGUACCCGCCGGCCGCGCUGGCCACCGGCGGUUCCCGCGCGGUGCGCGGCGUGCGCCGCCCCCCGCCGGCUGCCGCCGCGGUCGCCUGCAGGCCUCCUCGCCCCCCCUCAGGUCUUUUCGUGACCUGGCUUCGCCACUUACCAUGGAGGUGGGUGGAUAAAGGAGCUGCAAGGGGCUCCAUCAACGCAUGGAGCCACGGCCUCGCAUCUAUCUUAAUUAAGGUGCUUCGCUGCCGGAUGCAGGCUCUCAGUCUUCCUUGAGUGCGUCGUCUCCAUCAUCAGUUGCGCAGGUGACGAGUCCAUAUCAGCACUACAUUUACCUUCUGAUGAAUCUAAAGAUACUAAAACAAAAUGCAUCUUUGGCAUUACGGGAGUUGCAAUGUUUAUACUGUGCUACUCUAAUUCCAGUUCGUUCCACUACAUUGGAUUUAGCCUAUAGCAUGUAGGUAAACCUUCUAACCUCUUUGACUUACAGAUUAUAACAUAUCUGAUCACUUUAAGCUGUUGUAUGUUGGAGGAACCUGAGAGUAUUCCUGCUAGGUCUGAAAAGAGGAGAUUUACUAAUAACCUGCAAGGAGAUUAUUUAGCAAUUACAUACACAUGAAACGAUCUACCAUGGUAUCUUCUUUAUCUGAAUUUUUAAGGCAAAUACCUUACAUUAAGAUUGAAGAUGUACUGAAAUUGGUACUGGUUGGUUACGUACAUGUAGUUUCAACAUGCUCUCAUUUAUUCAAUUUAUCAGACUAAUUUUUUUUAAUGUAGCUCAUGGCAUGAGGGCGCUCUGUUUCCUUCCGUACACAUAGGCCUCAAAGUUUUCUUAUUUUGUGAUGAAAAAAGUCAGGCAUUGACAAUAUUAUGUUAGUGGUAAGGAAAGUAAACUGGCAACCAAGAGUGAUAUGAUUGAUGUGAAAAAGUUGGUAUGAAAAUUUGUUAUUAUAUUUCCUCCCCGCCUCUUAAUUGUACAUAAAAGAAAAAAAUGUAUCCAUUUUGCUUUGUGUCUAUUUCUUUUAGGGAACCUCUAAGGUGUUUCCCCUCAACCCAUGUUAUGUACUCCUAUGGUUUACAGUACAUGUGUAAUUACCUUCGAUGAAGAUAAAUUAGCCAUUUGUGAUCUUAGCUGACUAAGAAUCAUGUGAUCACUGUGUUCCACUAAUAUUUAUUCUUAUUGCACUUCCUAUCUUUUAUUUUAUGUUGUUAUUAUGUUUAUUUUGAUUUCUUUAUUUCCAGGUGCCUUCUAUUCCCGUGUCUUCUAUUCCUGGCAAAGGUUAAUGCUUCGCUAGAGAGAUUAGUUGUCAGGAUGUCUUUGCGGGCCUUCAACAUUAGUUAAAGCCUAUCGAUUUCCAGAGACAUUUUUUUCCUUUUCGUCAGCUAAUGUUCUUCUUAACCAGGAUUGCCUUUCUUCAAAUCUCAAGAUCUGUUUGUAGUAGUCUAAAGUAUUUUUUAAGGUUAUUCUCAUCAUUUAAUAAAAAAAUCCAUUACAAAAAUUGCCAUGAUAUAAAAAGUUGCUUCAAAUUUAGAAUUUGCAUAAUCUUUUAAAUUAUUCGAUAUCAGUAAUCAGUAGCUUAGUCCUCCAAGUUCUGUCCAGUAAUAGGGCAAGCUAUUUUGGUAAAAGCUGCAGAUUCAAUUAGUCUUCUUGGUUGCCUUUAAAUUUUACACAAAAUAUUUAUGUUCCAUUUUGCAGAUUUGCUCAUGGGUUGACAAAUUGAGAUAGAGGUAUAUGAUCUAUAAUGUUGCAUUCCUGCUUUGGAUUUCUUUGCCAAGCAGUGAUACUAAGAAUUUCAAACUGACCAUGGACUCUGUGAUAGCCUUGGGUUUUAUUAUUAUGCCCAGUUACAAGGCCAUAUGAAAAUGCUGAAAUUCAGUUUGAAAAGCCGUGAAAAUGUCAAGCUGUAUUUGUUUUUUUUUUCUAGACUAAAACCUCUAGCCAUGAACUUGGUUAGAUGGGGCUCAACACAAAUGAAGUGUGACCUUUGGUGCCAUGUGGUGAGGGAAGGAUCCAACAUCCAAUGCCGUCAUUUAACUUUUCUCUCUUCUAACAUGCUUCUUCCUUGGGUUUCACUGAAUAAUCACCUACACCUGGAUCUGUUGUCUGGUAAGAAUCUUUUGCCGAUUUGGGAUUUUAGCUACAUUGUAAAAAGUACAAAAGUGAUUUUUUUCUGAAAUAUUGUUCUCACCCUUCAAUAAACAAAAUCCAUUGUAAAAAUUGCCCUGAUACAAAGAGGUAGCUUUGAAUUUGCACAAUCUGUUAGAUUAUUCAAUCAAUGUCAAUAAUUAGCUUAGUCAUUCAUUUCUGUUCAGUAGUAGACCAGGCUAUUUUUGUAAAAGCUGCAAUUCAAUUAGCAUUUUUUGUCAUCUUCAAAUUUUACACAAAUCCCGUGUUCUAUUUUGCAGAUUUCCUCAUACUUUAGCCAACUGAGCUAAAGGUAUAUAAUUUAUAUUCUUGCAUUCAUGAUCUAGAUUUAUUUGCCAAGCAGUGACACUAAAUCUCAAUGCCUGUGCAGAAUUUCAAAUUCCCUAUGGACUCUGCGAUACCUUCAUUGUUUCUUAUCGUGUCCAGUUAGCAAGCAUUUGAAAAUGAUCAGUUUGCAGUUUUAUAUUACUCCCUGAGAAUCUUAAGCUGUAUUUUGUUUUCCCUUUUGGCUAGACUUCUGUCCAUGAACUGGUUAGCUGGGGCUCAACACAUGAUAAGUAUGACCUUUGGUGCCAUAUUUGGGGUGAUGGAAGGAGCCAGUUCCGUAGAUUUCUAUCUUUUAGCAUAGUACUUCCUUCGGUUUCACUGAACAGUGACCUAUGUCUGAAUCUUUUGUCUUGGUAAUUUUUUUGUCCAAUUGGGAUUCCAUGUUAUAAAAAGUAUAGUAACCUUGAUCCUGACUCCCUGAGUAAUAUGUGCAGGAGAACUAUGCCUGGAUCACUCACAUGAUCAACAACAUACUACAUGUACAAUCUUCAAUUACCCUUUCUUAUGGACAUUCAGCUACAUAGGGCCAUUCUAAUAAAUAACAAUUUGUGUUCUUUGCUAAGAUACACAAGUAUCGUGUUGUAUGAUGAUGAUGUUGCUCCUCCAUGUCUUCAACCCAUGAUGUUGUUACAACCUUUAAAAAUGAUUGCAGAUAUGAAACUAUGUAAAUGCAUGAUUAGUGCAA